UGCUGGCAGCAGCCGGGUCCGGGCCACCGCCGGCCCGGGCCGCCCUCCUGGGCGUUGCCGACUUUCAUUUGCGGCCACCUCCGAUCCCUUGGCACCGGUGUUUGUCACUGUCCAUGGCACAGACAGAGACACGCACACACAAGCCCGCACAGCUCGACCGAGCCCCAUCCGGCACCGCCCCGCUCGCUGUCCCCGAUCCGGUGUGUCAAGAGUUUCUUGCCCACGUAACACGGAAAGAACCACCCAUCAACACCAUGGUCACCGUUCGUCUCUUCUGCGCAUACAAAAGCUUCAUUAGUCACAGCCACCAGAAAAGCCUUCAGAGUCUCGUCCUCGCAGCACUGUGAGCUCUGGCUUGGAAGUGGCCCACCCCCUACCCAGUUUCACCCCCUAUGUGGACGAGUCAGCUCAGCCACAAAUAAUAUGUAGGUCUGCUUCCCCCACCAGCUGCUGCUCCAUUUUUCUCUAUAUUUGAUGAAUCGUCUACUUUGACAAAUCAGAACAUAAGGUAGAAUUAUUCAAGGCCUAGAUGAUUUCAGAGGGAAGGAAAACGGAAGCACCAAAGCCCUUGCUGUGGCAGCUGAAAUAACUGUUUCUUGCAGGGAUGUGUGGGGUUGUUCAGCAGGUCGUAGCCGGAAAAGUGCCCGUCACCCUCUCGCUGUUCUUAAGCCUGUGGAUUCUCUGAGUGCCAAGGAAAGCGCAGCAGCAGCAGCAGCAGCAGCAGCAGCCGCCUGUGUAAGGAAACAGUUCAGCCCAUGGCAGAUUUCCUGCCCAGGAGACACCAGGGCAGCCUGUGCUGCUGUCACACUGAGUCAGCUUGGCUGGACUGGCAUCACGUGUAAAAGCAAGGCUUCCAAAGUGCUGCCUGGCACGGCAGUAAUGGAACAGGGGUGAUGAUGAGAUUAUACUGGAAAUAUCAUCUUGUGGCUGUGGCUGCCUCGUCCCAGGAAGUGUUCCAGGCCAGGCUGGAUGGGGUUUGGAGCAAUGUGUGGAAGGUGUCCUUGCCCAUGGUGAGGGGGUGGAAGGCGAUGGUCUUUGAGGUCCCUUCCAUCCCAGACUGUUCUGGGGUUCUAUGAUAAAUAGAGUUCAUGAAGACUGAAUGUCCUGUUCAUGCUGGAUGGAGAGUGAGCUGAGUGGAAUUGAAUGUUUGGCUGAGGAUGCAAUUGUGACAGGCUCCUACAAGAACAAGACCCUUUGUGCCAACCCAGAGGACACGUGUGACUUUAACAGGGCUGCCCACCUGGCCUCAACGCCCUUCCACGGGGUGGUGGCUCAGAGAGUCCCAGCUCCUGCUUUCUCUCAGAGUGAACUGAAGGAGGAAGAUAGUCCAGAAUCCAGGAGUGCACCUCAGACGCAGGAGACACCAGUGUGUGAAGGAGCAUAUAUGAAGCUUGGAAAGUGGCAGAGAUGGACCCCCUUGGAGAGCAGCAGUGUGUCACUAGAGGACAUGGACCAAUUCAUACAAACACGUCUCAGUGGUGUCAUAGAAAAAAGAGAGCUUUUAUUCUCCUGACUCCAGUAUUUAUAGAUUUUUUUGUCAUUGACCAGGGAUUGGAUGAUUGUUAUAAAUUAAAUGCAGCCAAAUUUAUGAAUAAUAAUUUUAUUGAACAAUUUGUAAAUUUUAGUUAUGGAAACAACCACAUCACAGUUAAGGUUGAAGUGUCGAGCCUGGGAUCGGCGCUGGGUGAACUCUGAAUCAGUCUCCAUCGCCCUUAUUCCUCCAAGUUCACCCAGCAAACAACCACUGUCCAGAGAGGUCACGAGCUAGCUCAGGGGCUCUCUGAGAACUCCGGAAGACCAAAAGGACAUCUUCCAAACCGCGGCAAAAAUUUGCUCAUAAAAUCUGAGUGCACGAAGAACCCACGUGAGAAAAAGGCUCCAAAAAGGCAUACCUGACAUCCCCUGAGACAGCCCCUUGGGAUGGAUGUUAGAACACUGGGAGGAGUCCCCUGCAAGAACGAGAAAAUCCAAGGAAAUGAUGGUUCAUUUCUAUGUAGAGCUGUGGGGAGGAAAAGAGAUAUGAAAAUUUGUGGUAUGGCCUGUAUUUGGAACAUUUGAAAAGUGGACGUGUAAGGCUUUGCGCAUGGACGUAGAUAGCAAGCAAAGCAAGGAAGAAGGGGAGAGUGAAUACGCCGAGUUGUGGGAGGGGACGGAGAUUCGGAUGUACCCUGUGAAGACGGAUAAUUCUGCCACAAACCAGGGUGAGAUGUGGGAACCUUUAGACCACCUUCCUCCACCCUAUCUGAUGCCUAUACCACAACCAAGGCAGGCACAGGCGGCGCCACUAACACACCCAACUGAGCUGCUUUUGCCAGCUUCAGCAACGCAAGCCCCUCCAUGGACGGCGACAGCGCCCCCGCCAGAACAGCAGCAAUUAGGGCAAAAAUCACCUCAUACCAACUCUCCCCCAAACACACAGCACCUGAGCUGGACUCGGCAAGCCCUCCCAACUCACUCACUAACCCUCCACCAAACCUGCAGAUAGGGAUCUCCACACCACCAGUUAGGAGAAUGCGUCAAAAGGUAAAAAAGACAAACUGGGAGGACAGUGAAAACGAGGAUGAUAGACACAAUUUGUUCACACUAAAGGGAGUGCUGACUGCCCCAGGUAUUCUCGCAUAUGUACAUGUACCAAUUAAUACCGAAGAUGUAAGAGCAUUCAAAAGGGAAAUGGGGAAACUCAUGGAUGACGUGUUAGGGGUGGCAGACAGGCUAGAUGAAUUUUUAGGCACCAAUAUCUAUACUUAAAAAGAUAUAAUAGCCAUACCACAAUCCUUGUUUAACAAUGAGGAACGAGAGUUAAUAAGACAAGCAGGAAUGGGAAUGGAGGAACCUGCAUGAUAUUCCAGGGGAACAAAAAUGGCCAAACCAGAGACCAACCUGGAAUGCCCAAAUAGAAGAAGGGAGACAGAGCAUGAUUGACUUAAGGAAUAUGGUAAUCCCAGGGGUCAGGGAAGCAGUUCUGAGGGGUCAAAACAUCAGUAAGGUAUUUGGAGAAUGUCAAAAAAAGGAUGAAACCCCGACUGAAUGGUUAGAAAGAUUGAGAAAGGGUUUGCAAAUGUACUUGGGAACCAAUCCAAAUUCUCCGAUAGGAGAAGUAUUAUUAAAAACCCAGUUUGUGGGAAAGGCAUGGGAGGAUAUUAGAAGAAAGCUGGAGAAAAUAGAUAACUGGUAAGAGAAAGAAUUACAAGAGCUACUCAGAGUAGCACAGAAGGUGUGUAUGAGAAGAGGAGCAGCAGAAAAUACAAGCAAAAGUGCUAGUGACUGCAGUCUGAAAAGCACAAAAACAAGAACGUCCCCCUGAACCAGAGAAACCAGCAAAAGACAAUAUUCAGGGACACCAAGUGCCCCAGAAGAAAAAGGACCUCAGCUAUCGGAUGGCUCACAUAUUGUGUCACUACUGUGAGAAAAAAGGAGAUCUAGUGAGCAGUUGUAAACAAAAAGAAAUAGACCAAAAAAUGUUCCAGGAAGAUUAGCAGGGCCAGGAGCUUUUUAUUUUAGGGUCCAGAAGAUCAAGAGAGCCCUUGGUGAAAAUAAACGUAGGACCCAAAAAGGAAGUCAUGGAGUUCCUUGUGGGCUCUGGGGCUGAAAAAAGUACAUUUAAAAAAUUGCCACUGGGCUGCGUAAAAAGCAAGGAAACUAUAACUGUAACUAGGGCAAAAGGGGAACCGUUCAAGGUUCCAGUGGUAAAGGAC